UACGGAGGGUGCAAGCGUUAUCCGGAUUCACUGGGCGUAAAGGGUGCGUAGGCGGUCGGGUAAGUCUGAUGUGAAAUCUCACAGCUUAACUGUGAAACUGCAUUGGAUACUAUUCGGCUUGAGAGUUGGAGGGGGGACUGGAAUUCUUGGUGUAGCAGUGAAAUGCGUAGAUAUCAAGAGGAACACCAGUGGCGAAGGCGAGUCCCUGGACAACUUCUGACGCUGAGGCACGAAAGCUAGGGGAGCAAACAGG
rnacentral:rRNA from 1 species